rnacentral:rRNA from 1 species
GAUGAACGCUAGCGGCAGGCUUAAUACAUGCAAGUCGUGGGGCAGCAGGUUUGUAGCAAUACAGAUGCUGGCGACCGGCAAACGGGGUGCGGAACACGUACAGAACCUUCCUUUGAGCGGGGAAUAGCCCAGAGAAAUUUGGAUUAAUACCCCAUAGUAUAAUGAAGUGGCAUCACUUUAUUAUUAAAGAUUUAUCACUCGAAGAUGGCUGUGCGGCUGAUUAGGUAGUUGGCGGGGUAAAGGCCCACCAAGCCUGCGAUCAGUAACUGGUGUGAGAGCACGACCAGUCACACGGGCACUGAGACACGGGCCCGACUCCUACGGGAGGCAGCAGUAAGGAAUAUUGGUCAAUGGAGGCAACUCUGAACCAGCCAUGCCGCGUGGAGGAUGAAGGUCCUCUGGAUUGUAAACUUCUUUUAUAU